CCAAAAUGACCCCCCUUUCAAUUAUGGUCUCAUUUGUUUUGCACACCCUCACACACAAAAACCCUAAUCCUCUAAAAACCUUCAGCACACCAAGUACCCCCACCUUUGUUUUUCAAACCACCCCAAUAAAAAAAACGAUCCUCCACACAUGCUGCUUCACGAUCCAUCUUCGGCAGCCAUAGAUCCUCCAGCCGCCACUGCUUCGUCAUCCUCUCCAACGUCCAGCCAACGAACAAACACGAGCAACCUUUUGCUCGUCGACCACCAGCAGUCCGCCUCUCACCAUGAACGACGACAGCCAUGGACGCACCUUGCUCCACCUGCCUCACGUCGGACCAGGAGCAGCAGUAACCUCCCUCACGUCCGCAAACUACCAGCGAACACCUCCACGCUCACGUGAGCAGCCUGCCUGCUUCACCUCACCUCCAAACACACUACCAAACGACCCUUCCCAACUGCUGCCCCCAUUUAUUUUUCUUCUUCACCCAUAAACAAGCCAACGUCGUCCACCCUUGUCUUAGUCAUCCAUGUUCGUGUUUGUGUUCGUCAUCCAGUUCGAGUUCGUUAUUGAGAUCCCAGACAGAUUCGAGCUAUUUUGGAUUUCAGUGUUUAAGGGAAGAUAUGAUUUCGUUCGAGUUCGUCGUUGUUCCGAUCCGGUUAGUUGUUUUAAGUUUUAUUUUUGUCCGUAUUUUGUUUUAUUUUUCAGAUCCGAAAUCGUUAUAUGUUUGAUUAUUUUCUUGAUUUGUUGUUUAUCAUUUUUUUUUGAUUAUUUAUUUAGUUAGUUUUAUUUAUUUGUUUUGUUUAAGUUUUAAUAUAAAAAUGCUUUAGUUUAAUCACUUAAAUCCUUGAUCUUGAUUGUAAUAUUAUUAGAUUUAAUUUAAAGUUUAAUUGAUUAUUAAGUUUAAUGAGUAUGUUUUAAGUCUAAAUUUGGAUCUGAGUUAGAGAUUUAAAUUAGUUUGUUUGAUCUGUUAAAUUUAAUUUGAAUCUGAUUUUAGUAAUUUUAAUUUACUUGUGUGUUAUUGUUGUUAAAUCUGAAGUAUUUGUUGUUAAAAAUAUUAUUUAGUCCAAAUAAGUUUUAGUUGGUUCUUUGUUGUUCAUCAUUUAAUUUGAAUUGUUGGUUGAAUUUGAUUAAGAAUUGGUUAUAGUUGCUAUGUUUUGAUUAAUUGAUUUAGGUGAAUUGAUUAUAGCUGAGGGGGUAGAGUAGUAAUUUUUAAUAAUUUUGGGGGUAUUUUUGUAAUUAAAAAUAUAAAUAUUGGUUUAAUAUAUAGUGGAGAUCAUAAUUAUGUAAAGGGGAAAAGACAUAAUUAUUAAAGUAAAAGAGGGCGGGGACUGUAAUUAUUACAGUAAAAGAGGGUGGGGACUGUGGGGUCCACGUUUGACUGAUUGAGAAUUAGAAAUAGUAAAAGCAGGAAAGUAAAAGAAAGAAGUGGGGUAAUAAUAAAGGAAGGAAUAAUAAUUAAAGAGGAGGUAAAGAGAGUCUUGUUUGAAGACAUAAAUAGAGGUCAUUGACAUUAAAAAAAGGAGGAGAAUUUUCGGAAGGAUAAAAAUUUUCAGAACUUAAGAGUAAAAGGCUGGUCUUUUCUUUACUGUUGAAUAUUAGAACUAGUAAUGUUACUACUUCACUGGUAGUUGCUAGAUUUUCUGCUUGGUUCUUAAAACUAUUCCUGGGGUCUUCCUGCACGGUUUUUUACGGGUUUACUGAUUUGGUUGUUGAACCUGUUGUUGCUGUGUUGUGCUACUGCUGCACCACUGACUUCUUCCUCUUCUUUGCUUUCUAAAUACAAGGUACACGACUGUAACCCUCGCUAUUGUAAGCCGAAAAAAUGUAGAAGCAUGAAUACAUAUAAAAAUGGAAGUUUGAAGUUUUGAUUUAACUUUUCUNNNNNNNNNNNNNNNNNNNNNNNNNNNNNNNNNNNNNNNNNNNNNNNNNNNNNNNNNNNNNNNNNNNNNNNNNNNNNNNNNNNNNNNNNNNNNNNNNNNNNNNNNNNNNNNNNNNNNNNNNNNUAGAUUUCUGCCAGCUUUGUAUAGCUGGACUGUAUUCAGUUUGAUUUGGAUUAAUUGAAGUUAUAAUUAUAAUGAACUAUUAGGAUGUAGUUACCAGCUAUAGUAAUAUUCACUUGUAAAAUAAGGCACGAAACAAUACUCAAUUUUUACGAGCUCGAGUGCAAUUUUCGUUCGCAUUAAUCUAAUAACUAAUAAGAGGCCCGAACUUGCCAAGCAUCUAAAUUAAUUAGGAUUUUUCUUUUUUUUAAUUUAGAGACGAACUAAAUAGAAAAAAUAUAGUCAAUUUAGGAAUGUCCUUUAAAAACUAAAUAAGGCGUACCUCGCCAAUAAUAGUUGUAAAUUGUGGGGCCCUCAUACUUGUUUAAUAAAAAUUAUUUAGACUGUGGGACAUGCCGUUUAGCGAAUUCCACGGCUUUCUCAAAAUAGUAAUGCGUUAAUAUGUUUAGGCACGUAUUUAAUAAUGUUAUCUUCCCUAAACUCGUGUACACAUUUAUGUUACCCAAAUCCAAAUUCCAACGAAGUCGGAACAUAUUAAAAACUGCAUAUAUAUUUAUGUGACGCGGUUCGAGAUAUAUUCUCACGACGUUGUAAUUCUUUUAAAAAAUAAAUUAAAAAUAAAUAAUGAUAAAAACGUCUAAAAUUUAAAUUUGCAUGAGUUCAUAAUUUUAAUAAAAUCAGAUAAAUAAGUCGAAUAUGACAGCUCUGGCAACUCUGUUGGGAAAACAUAUCCUAGAACCACUGGUUCAGGGUUAGAAUUUCGAGCUUAGAAUAAUUGUUGUAUUUGGCUUUCUCUAUUAUCUGAUGUUUAUUACAUUUUAUACUGGGGAAAAUAUGACCCAAAAUAUCUGGUUCAGGGUUAGAAAAUCGAGCUUAGAAUAAUUAUUGUAUUUGACUUUCUCUAUUAUCUGAUGUUUAUUACACUUUAUUUUAGAUUUAAUGUGCAAAUUGUUGCUUAUUACCGCUUUGAUAUUAUUUGAACUGUGUAUAUAAAGUGCUGUGAAACCCUACUUCUUUCUGAGUCUUCUGAAAAUGGUGCAUACGUUCGCGUAGCCCGCCUUUUGAAAAAUUAUUCCAAAUAGAGCGAGUGUAGGGCAAGCGACAAGGUCGGGCAGACUUUAGUGCUCCCGUUACGUUACCCCCUCCUCAGCCCUAGUUGUCUGCUCGGGUUCCCCAACUCUAUACCAAAACCCAUGUUUUUCUUUUACCUAGUAAAACACGGCUUCAUGCCGGAUCCCUAGUAGGAAGGCUUAUACCCCCUCGUCAGCCCCAGUUGUCCGCUCGGGUUUUCCAACUCUAGACCAAAACCCAAGUUUUUCUUCUACAUAGUAAAACAUAGCUUCAUGUCGGAUCCCUAGUAGGAACGUUUAUUUACAUCAUGUGCAUUUGACUUAAGGGACUCAACACAGGGAUUGGGUCCAUCUAGGACAAGCAACCUGAAGUAAAAAAAUCAUCCUGCUGCAUCCUGUCUGUUUUAUGCAUUUAUUUACUUCGAACUGACAUGCUGACCGGAUUUGAAUACUGGAAAAUUGUAAAAAAAUGGAAAAAAAAAAACUAGCAGUGUAGAGUGUUCGUUACAUAUUUUUAGAAAAUCAAUUUCCAAAUAGUGGCGGAACUCUACCAAAAUUUUGGAAAAAAUGAAGAAAAAAAGAGAGUUGUUUUUAGUUUGAUUUAUUUGAAAAAAAAAAGUAAAAAAAAAAAUAAAAGAAUCCUUAUUUUCGGAUUUUCUUGUUUUCUACAUAGUUUAUUUGCCAACGGAAAAAAAAAAGAUUGUUUUACUGAAAAAAAAAAGAAUCUUUAUUUUUAGCUUGAAAAAAUAGGUUGAUUUGUUAUUUGGUGAAAAAGAAAAAGAGUUUUUGUUUUUAGUUUGGGAAAAAUAGGUUGUUUUAGUUUUGUUAAAAAUGAAAAGAAAAAAGAGUCAUUAUUUUGUCUUGUUUAAAAAAAGUUUAAUUUGUUUUGCCAUGAAAAAUAAAAAUGAAAAGAGUUGUGCUUUGAAAAUAAUUUUGUUAUUUGUUGCCAAAAAUGAAAAAAAAGAAUCAUGUUUUAAAAUAGUUCAGUUUAUUGGGCGAACUACGCCGGUUUGAUUCUCACAGGGUGUGAGAUACAUAGGCAACCCUCAUCGGGUCAAACCUACCCUUUGCAAAAAAUAGAAAAAAAUAUCAAAGUUUUUAUUUUCAUCAUAAAUAAGUCGGGUAAUGAUGUUUUUAUCAAAAAUAGCCAAAUGUUCUCGAAUGGGGCGCCGGAAGGUUAACUUUGUAUAAACAACCACCUUUGGGUCAUGUUUUUAGAUUUUGGCCAGCUGACCCACACAUCCUUAAAAUCUUUGCCCCGGAGUGCUGAAAGGUUGUCUUUGCAAAACUUGGCCUUUUAUUUUAAUUUGAAAAAAAGAGUUAGUAUGCAAGUGAUUGCCGUUCAAAUUUCUAGUAAAAAAUAAGCCGAGCCAGCUUCGGCUAUGUAUUAAACCGUUCUUACCGAGAUAGACUUAGAGUAUCUUUCAUUUGUCGAAAGGCUAUUUUCGUAAAAGAAUAGACAAGUUUGUAGAGUGUCGUGAAAUAAUUUUUCCGGCCUCAAAAUUCAUGUGAAUUGAGAGAGGGCCACGUUGCAGAAAUAGCCAUUUGGCUGAAAGUGGCAAAUAGGGAAAUGAAUCUAUCAGCUUGUUUUUGAGUUUGUAAUUCUUUUGAUAGAAUAUGUGGGUUGUUUCAUUUUCGAGUCCGUAUGUUAUCUUUUCGUCAAAUUUUGAUAGUUCGGUAUGUUUUUAAACCAUUGUAAUUAAAGUUGGUUUUAUUAUGAAAGUUGAAAAUUCCAAAAAAUGUUUUAUUGUUGUUUACUUUUUAUUGUUCUGAACUACGCAAGGACUGAUUCAAGCGGGGUCAUGAUACGUAAGAAAUCUCCAUAAGAUUCGACAACAACAAAAAUGAAAAAAAAAACCAAAAAAAUAGGAAAAUGAAAAAAGAAGGCAAAAGAUGUUGUAAUAAUAAGGACAUACUAAGUCCAUUCUAAUAUGUUUUGUCGAAAAAAUAAAAAAAACGUGGAAACGAAAGAAACAAAAGAUUUUGUUAAUAAUGAGGACCGACUAAGUCCAUUCUAACAUGUUUUGUUUUGAAUUUUGAGAAAGUUGGGGUGAUCGGUUUGUGGUAAGCUGGAAGCACAAGAUCCAGAAAAAUUUGAUUCAAGACAGUGACACCCAGAAUAUCACGUUGAAUCCUUUACAUACACAUGAUGAUGCACACUUUGUGAGGAUAAUGCCCGAUGACAUGGGUUAUGAGAAUCCUCUUAUUUGUGGUAAGCUUGAAUCACAAGAUCCAGGAAAAUUUGAUUCACGACAGUGACACCCAUAAUAUCACGCUGAAUCUUUUACAUAAAUAAGAUGAUGCACACUUUCUGGGAAUGAUGCCCGAUGAAUAUGGAUGCGAAACUCAAUGGCUAAAAAUGCUUGUUAAUUGGAAAGACGCUCCAUGUCUGGGUCAGCUGGAAGGAAUCUUGGUAGUGGGCUCUGAUUUUCCUUCUUGUUUUCUGGAUCAUUCCGCGGUUUUAAUCCGGCUUCUUUUAUUUUUUCCUUGUAAAAGGAUGAAACCUUGUUUCCCGUAAUUCAAUAAAAAUGAAAAAAAAAUUCUUCUUCACUUUUACUUUAGUUUAAUUUUGUCUUCUUGUUUUCUCUUUAUGAACAGUUCUCUUUAUACUGGUUCUAAUGGCAUGGCAUGCACGAUGGAUCUUCAACCUACUCUAAAAAAAUCAAUUUGAUUAUGAACUAAUAAUACAAGAGGUAGAUUGAUGAUAAUGAGUGGGUCAAAAGCCGAAUGGAGCGGUUGAGGUGGCCAACAAUAACAUAAAGAAGAUAUUGAGAAAAAUGGUACGAGGGUCCAGACAAUGGCAUGAAAAGCUACCAUUUGCGUUGUUGGGUUAUCACACUACUAAUCCUACUUUAGUAGGUGCAACUCUAUAUCUGUUGGUAUACGGAACUGAAAUAGGGAUACCACUAGAGGUUGAAAUUCCGCCUCUUUGAAUUCUCACCGUGGCUGAGAUUGAUGAUGAUGAAUGGGUCAAAGCCCGAUUGGAACGGUUGAGCUUAAUUGAUAAAAAGAGAUUAGCAGCAGUAUGUCAUGGCCAGUUAUAUCAAAAGAGAAUGACAAGAGCAAUCAUAAGAAUGUGCGUCCGAGGAAAUUUGAAGUGGGGCAACAAGUGUUGAAACGAAUCCUGGCACAUCAGGCCGAAGUAAAAGGCAAGUUCGCCCCGAACUGGCAAGGACCAUUCAUUGUGAUAAGAGUUUCAUCCAAUAGCGCUUUAUGUCUGACAGAUGUCGAGGAAAGAUGUAUCAACAUGGCUAUCAAUUCUGAUGCAGCCAAGCGGUAUUUUGUAUGACUUCUUUGACUAUAAUUGUUUGUUUGUUUGGUUGCACUUGGCAUCAAUCGGAGAAUGAAAUGACAGAGGCAUUUUUUUCUACUAUCCAAACACUUUAACAUUGCUUCCCCCUUUGAGCCUUAUUUAUUCUUUCAUACCCCUCUUUUGGAAUCAUUAACGAAAACGAAAAAAAAAGAAAUAAAAGAAGAGAAGAAAAGAAUAGUAGAAAAAAAAGGAAAAAAGAUAACAAAAAAAGAAAGCGAAGUCACAAGAAAAACAAAGGAAUCAAGUGAACUACAUUUGACCUGAUUCCUCAAAGAGGAUACGUAGGCACCUCACGGUUCGGUCAUAGCGUGACGAAGUGUAACAAAGAUAAAAAAUUCCCCAAGCAGAAAAACUGGGGCAAAUGUUUUGUUUUUAAUUUUGAAAAAGAGUUUUGAUUCCAAGAGUUGUAAUGUUUCACCCGUCAAGUUUUGAAUUUAUCUUCUUUUCUUUUAAACCCCAUAUAAAAACCCAUGUUGGUGUCCACAAAAGACCUCCCGAUCAGCAUUCGAUAGGUGCCAAGGUAGGCAAAUGAAAACCUAGAAUAACACAUUAGUUCCCGACUCAAUGGCCUUUUAUUUUAAACCCCAUAUAAAACCCACAUUGAUGUCCAAAAGACCUCCUGAUCAGCAUCCGAUAGGUGCCAAGGCAGGCAAAUGAAAGCCGAGAAUAACACAUUAUUUCCCGACUAAAUGGGAAACAUGACUUGAAAGAAUUAAUAGCCAUAAGAAUUUCCAACAGAAAUAUUCUUACCGGCGACACCCCAAUCCCAGCUGAAAGAGAAAAAUGAGAGAGUCUUAUCGGUGAAAACCUUCACAGGCACCAUAAGACGACGUAAGCUGAGAGAAAAAAAAAUGAGAGUCUUAUCAAUAAAAACCUUCACAGGAACCAUAAGGCGGCGGGAGUUAAGAGAAAUGAGAGAGUCUUAUUAGUGAAAACCCCUCGAAGGGCGAGGCGACAAGAGGGGAUUGACGGAAAGGAUCCGCAUUUUGCGAAGAAUUGGGCACCUGUUUAUCCCCAGCAAGUGAAGACAUCAGAAUGAUUGAUUGAUACAAAUAGACUGGGUUGAUUAAUACGGAAGGCACGCCAUGAUCGUUGGGAUUAGUUAUACCAUUCAGAUAAGUUCUUUUUCUUUUCUUUUCCCUAGUAUUUGUUCAGAAAGAUUUUCUCUUUUUCUAUCUUUUCAUUUCUUUGUUUAAAAGACUUUCUCCAGAAAUUGGUUUUAGAGAAAGAUCUUUCAGAGCUUACUACCAGUUACCAAAAUGGUACAAAGAAAAAUGGCAAGAGGACAGGCCAGAGACAAGGUAAAAGGAGGUUUGUUGCAGGGUCAAAUAAUAUUGAUCUAAAAUAUCAAGGGAAAUAUGGAGAAAAACAGGAAAACAAUUGUUGAGAAAAUUGUGGACCAAAUUCCAAGAGGGUCCCAAACAGAUCAUCGAGAUGUAGGAGCAUCCCAAACAUAUUUUCGACCAAGUUCCAAGAGGGCCGGACAACACAGAGUGGGGAAGGAAGAAAAUGGAAAACUCAUCCCCAGCAAAAUAAUCCCCAGCAAGCUUUGAUAGCGUAAUGAAACGCAGAGCGGGGAAGGGAGAAAAGGAAAAAUCAUCCCCAGCAGAAGUGGCACGACCACUCACCAUGUUUCAAAACUAACAAAUUUUCUUUGAUUUGAAGAAGGAAAAGGAAAUCUUAUUAAUGGCGGAAAGACAUGCCACAGGGAAGAGCACCAAAACUGGGGCAGAAAAUUUUUCGCCAUUGUCGAAAAUUUUCUCGGAGAAACGAGGAAAUCAAUGCAAGUUUUAAGGGAUAGCAAGACAACACAAUUUUAAGAAAAACAGUCAGAGGUAAUAUUAUUUCAAGUUUUGAAGUCGGGAGCCCGCCCAUAGAAAGGAGGUAUUAUUUUUAAGUUGUCGAAGUCGGGAGCCCUCCCGUAAAACAGAGGCAUUAUUUUUAAGUUGUUGAAGUCAGGAGCCCACCCAUAUAAUAGAGGUAUACAUUUCACUCUAUAAAUUUCAAAUUUUGAAUAUAGGUUCAUUCGCCUUCGAAUAGGAUAUUAUAGGUUCAUCCGCCUUCGAAUAAGAUAUUAUAGGUUUGUCCGCCUUCGAAUAGGAUAUUAUAGGUUCAUCCACCUUCGAAUAGGGUAUUAUAGGUUCAUCCGCCUUUGAAUAGGAUCUAAUAAGUUCAUCCGCCUUCGAAUAGGAUAUUAUAGGUUCAUCCACCUUCGAAUAGGAUAUUAUAGGUUNNNNNNNNNNNNNNNNNNNNNNNNNNNNNNNNNNNNNNNNNNNNNNNNNNNNNNNNNNNNNNNNNNNNNNNNNNNNNNNNNNNNNNNNNNNNNNNNNNNNNNNNNNNNNNNNNNNNNNNNNNNNNNNNNNNNNNNNNNNNNNNNNNNNNNNNNNNNNNNNNNNNNNNNNNNNNNNNNNNNNNNNNNNNNNNNNNNNNNNNNNNNNNNNNNNNNNNNNNNNNNNNNNNNNNNNNNNNNNNNNNNNNNNNNNNNNNNNNNNNNNNNNNNNNNNNNNNNNNNNNNNNNNNNNNNNNNNNNNNNNNNNNNNNNNNNNNNNNNNNNNNNNNNAAAGGAUAUUACAGGUUUGUCCACCUUCGAAUAGGAUAUUAUAGGUUCAUCCGCCUUCCAAUAGGAUAUGAUAGGUUCAUCCGCCUUCAAAUAGGAUAUUAUAGGUUCAUCUGCCUUCGAAUAGGAUAUUACAGGUUCAUCCGCCUUCAAGUAAGAUAUUACAGGUUCAUCCGCCUUUGAAUAGGAUAUUAUAGGUUUGUCCGCCUUCGAAUAGGAUAUAAUAGGUUCAUCCGCCUUCGAAUAGGAUAUUAUAGCUCCAUCCACCUUCGAAUAGGAUAUUAUAGGUUCAUCCACCUUCGAAUAGGAUAAUUAUGGGUCAUCCGCCCUGGAAUAGGAUACUACAGGUUCAUCCGCCUUCGAAUAGGAUCUAUAGGUUCAUCCGCUUUCGAAUAGGAUAUUAUAGGUUCAUCCGCCUUUGAAUAGGAUAUUAUAGGUUCAUACGCCUUCGAAUAGGAUAUUAUAGGUUCAUCCGCCUUCGAAUAGGAUAUUACAGGUUCAUCCGCCUUCGAAUAGGAUAUUACAGGUUCAUCCGCCUUCGAAUAAGAUAUUAUAGGUUCAUCCGCCUUCAAAUAGGAUAUCAUAGGUUCAUCCGCCUUCGAAUAGUAUAUCAUAGGUUCAUCCGCCUUCGAAUAGGAUAUUAUAAGUUCAUCCGCCUUCGAAUAGGAUAUUAUAGGUUUUCCACCUUCGAAUAGGAUAUUAUAGGUUGCCCACCUUCGAAUAGGAUAAUUAUGGGUCAUCCACCAUCGAAUAGGAUACUAUAGGUUCAUCCGCCUUCGAAUAGGAUAAUUCUGGGUUCAUCCGCCCUCAAAUAGGAUAUUGAAUCUAGUCCUUCCUCAAAAGGACAUUUAAUUUGUUUUGACCAGAGUGGUCCUGCUUGUAUAAAUAUUGCCAAAAUCUAUAUUUCAUAAAUCAUUGACAAAUGCAUUUUAAUUUUAAAGUUGUUGAUGAAGUCAGGAGCCGCCUGUAGAACGGAGGAAUAUUUUCAAUGUCAAAUUAGAAGAUGAUGAUGAAGAUGGUCACAAAAAAUACCCCAACAUAAAAAGUUUGAUGAAGGAAGCAAUAUCCCAACAGACAGAACAAAAUGAUGAAAUUUGUGUUCUGAAAAGGCAAACGGCCAAUGACAUCCCCAUCAAUUUUGGAAGAAAGAAGCACUGGAGGAAACACAAGCCGACGAGAAAGCAAAGAAACAAGAACAAGUUGAAGAUAAUUAAGAUCUUGUAAUCUGUAGUCUACCAUAGCUCCUUGAUUUUCUCCUUGUCACGGUGUAAUAAGGAGAUCGGCAAAACAGUAGUAACAGCAUACAGCAACAAUAACACCAGAACCACAGUUCCCCGGAAGUCCCAGCUACCAAGACUUCCCGAACUACAUUGACCUGAUUCCCUUUUAGCCAGGAAUAUGUAGGAAACAUUCGAAGCAAAGGCUCGGUCAAAUCAUUCAAAAAAUAUUUCACACGGAGUACUCAAACAGGCAAAAAUUGUUCGUAUCCGCCCACUUUAUCUUUGUAUGAAAACUCAUGUUUACGAGCAAAGAGGGGCAGUUGUGAGCACGUGAUUUUCGCCCUAUAUAUGAAUUACUCCCAGAAAAUUCAAAAUAAAACAAUUUUUAGCUUGUUUGCAAUUGUGGCUAUUUUUCUUGUAUUAUUUGCAUUUGAUGGUGCAUAUGUAUUUUUUAAACUAAUAAAAAACUACAAAAAUAUCUUGCACGCAUUUAGGAGUUAAUUGUGCAUUUUAGAAAUUAAUUAACCAUAAUUUGGUUAAAAGAAAAAUAGAAAAAUCUGCAUUUUUGUGCCUUGUCAUUAUGUGAUUUUAUUUAAAUGUGUGAUUUGUGAUAAUUAUUGUAGGUGUUAAAUAUGUGUGUAUUUUCAUUAGUUUUGAUUCUAGAAAUUAUUUAGGAACUUUUUUAAUUUUGUUUAAUAAAAGAAAUAAGAAAAGAGUUGAAAUCAAAGAGGAAAUCGGACUAGGGCUCAAUCUAGACCCAACAUCACUGAGGCCCAAUACAUAAUUGACCCAGUCCAAUAAACUUACUGACCCGGUCCAACACUAAACCAAAAUGACCCCCUUUCUAUUAUGGUCUCAUUUGUUUUGCACACCCUCACACAAAAAACCCUAAUCCUCUAAAAACCUGCAGCACACCAAGCACCCCCACCUUUCUUUUUCAAACCACCCCAAUGAAAAAACGAUCCUCCACACCUACUGCUUCACGAUCGAUCUUCGGCAGCCAUAGAUCCUCCAGCCGAUGCUGCUUCGUCGUCCUCUCCAACGUCCAGCCAACGAACAAACACGAGCAACCUUUUGCUCGUUGACCACCAGCAGUCCGCCUCUAACUAUGAACGACGACAACCAUGGACACACCUUGAUCCACCUACCUCACGUCGAACCAUGAGCAACAUUCACCUCCCUCACGUCCGCAAACGACCAGCGAACAGCUCCACGUUCACCUGAGCAGCCCGCCUGCUUCACCUCACGUCCAAACACACUGACCAAACGACCCUUCCCAACUGUUGUCCGCCAUUGACGAGCAGCUGUUGAUGCUUCAUCUGUUUCUGCCCGUGUCUAGCUCAACAAGACAGCUUCACCACGUGGCCAUGACCAACCAAACAGCCCCUCGUUCAUUUUUCUUCUUCAACCAUGAAAAACCCAGCGUUGUCCACCCUCGUCUUAGUCAUCCAUGUUCGUGUUUGUAUUCGUCAUCCAUUUCGAGUUCGUUAUUGAGAUCCCAAACAGAUUUGAGCUAUUUUGGGUUUCAAAGUUUAAGGGAAGAUAUGAUUCUGUUCGAGUUCGUCGUUGUUCCGAUCGAUUAGUUGUUUUAAGUUUCAUUUUUAUCAGUAUUUUGUUUGAUUUUUUAGAUCCGAAGUCGUUAUAUGUUUGAUUAUUUUCUUGAUUUGUUGUUCAUCAUUUUUGUUGAUUAUUUAUUCAGUUUGUUUUAUUUAUUUGUUUUGUUUAAGUUUUAAUAUAAAAAAUAUUUUAGUUUAAUCACUUAAAUCCUUGAUCUUGAUUGUAAUAUUGUUAGAUUUAAUUUAAAGUUUAAUUGAUUAUUCAGUUUAAUGAGUAUGUUUUAAGUCCAAAUUUGGAUCUGAGUUAGAGAUUUGAAUUUGUUUGUUUGAUCUGUUAAAUUUUAAUUUAAAUGUGUGUUUAAUAAUUUUAAUUUACUUGUGUGUUAUUGUUGUUAAAUCUGAAGUAUUUGUUGUUAAAAAUAUUAUUUAGUCAAAAUAAUUUUUGGUUGGUUCUUUGUUGUUCAUCAUUUAAUUUGAAUUAUUGAUUGAAUUUGAUUAAGAAAUGGUUAUAGCUGCAAUAUUUUGGUUAAUUGAUUUAGGUGAAUUGGUUAUAGUUAACGAGGGUAGAGUAGUAAUUUUUAAUAAUUUCGAGGGUAUUUUAAUAAUUGAAAAUAUAAAGAUUUGUUUAAAAUAUAGUGGGAAACAUAAUUAUGUAAAGGGGACAAGACGUAAUUAUUAAAGUAAAAGAGGGUGGGGACUGGAAUUAUUAAAGUAAAAGAGGGUGGGGAUUGUGGGGUCCACGUUUGACUGAUUGGGAAUUAGAAAUAGUAAAAGAUGAAAAGUAAAAGGAAGAAGUGGGGUAAUAAUAAAGGAAGGGAUAAUAAUUAAAGAGGAGGGAAAGAGAGUCUUGUUUGAAGAUAUAAAUAGAGGUCAUUUGACACUAAGAAAAGGAGGAGAAUUUUGAGAGAGAUAAAAUUUUUGAGAACUUAAGAGUAAAAGGGAGGUCUGUUACUACUUCACUGGUUGUUGCUGGAUUUUGUGUUUGCUUCUUAAAUCUAUUCCUGGGGUCUUCCUGAACUAUUUAUUACGGGUUUACUGCUUUGGUUGUUGAACCUGUUGUUGAUGUGUUGUGCUACUGCUGCACUACUUACUUCUUCCUCUUCUUUGCUUUCUAAAUACCAGGUGCAUGACUGUAACCCUGGCAAUUGUAAGCCGAAAAAUGUAGAAGCAUGAUACAUAUAAAAAUGGAAGUUUAAAGUUUUGAUUUAACUUUUCUUCUUUACGUGAUUUUAUUUUAGAACAUUUCUUAUACUACUGUUAUGUAGAUUUCUGCCAGCUUUGUAUAGCUGGAC
rnacentral:lncRNA from 1 species